UAGACCCUUUUUACCAUCUUUACCACCAGCUUCCACAACAACACCACCAACAACACAGGGUUUCAGAAGAAGCUCCACAUCUUCAACAUUUUCUAAAACCACCAACCAGUCUGAACAGGAGCAAACUGAGAAAACAACAGCUGGAGGUUCAGGUGUGCUGCUGUAUGUGGGUCUGACUCUGGUCAUCAUCGUGCUCCUGUUCUCUGUGGUUGUGCUGAUACUCUGCAAGAAAAGAGCCUGUAAACCCAAAGAACAUCCUGAGGGAAUAGAGUGUGCUAAUGUCACAGAGGAUAGCCGAGUGUACGAGGAGAUCAGAGAGGGCGACGGACUGAGCAGAUCUCCUCCUGUGGAAAACCCAGUUGAAGCCUCAGAUGUCUACAGCGUCGUCACUGCUACAGCAUCCUGUCCUCUGAGCAAAACUGAAGACGACUUGAAUGAACUGGACUACACUGAGGUAGAUUUGUCCAACAGAGCUGCCGCCUCACUCAGCAGCGCCCCCUCUGGUCAAAUCGAUAAUGUUAUCUACUCUACUCCUCAGACACACACUGAUGCCAAAGUAGAGUCACAGCCUCUGUACUCAACUGUUACUUUACCUCAGCAGUAGCUUGAAUGCUGUUGACAUCCUGACAUCUAUGUUAAACAUGCUUGAUGUUAUGAAACUUGAAAUGAAAAUAUGUAGCAGUGCUUGAUGCAAGGGCGA